rnacentral:rRNA from 1 species
CAACAGGGAUUGCCUUAGUAACGGCGAGUGAAGCGGCAAAAGCUCAAAUUUGAAAUCUGGCGCCUUCGGUGUCCGAGUUGUAAUUUGAAGAAGGUAACUUUGGAGUUGGCUCUUGUCUAUGUUCCUUGGAACAGGACGUCACAGAGGGUGAGAAUCCCGUGCGAUGAGAUGCCCAAUUCUAUGUAAAGUGCUUUCGAAGAGUCGAGUUGUUUGGGAAUGCAGCUCUAAGUGGGUGGUAAAUUCCAUCUAAAGCUAAAUAUUGGCGAGAGACCGAUAGCGAACAAGUACAGUGAUGGAAAGAUGAAAAGAACUUUGAAAAGAGAGUGAAAAAGUACGUGAAAUUGUUGAAAGGGAAGGGCUUGAGAUCAGACUUGGUAUUUUGCGAUCCUUUCCUUCUUGGUUGGGUUCUCCGCAGCUUACUGGGCCAGCAUCGGUUUGGAUGGUAGGAUAAUGAUUAAGGAAUGUGGCUCUACUUCGGUGGAGUGUUAUAGCCUUGGUUGAUACUGCCUGUCUAGACCGAGGACUGCGUCUUUGACUAGGAUGCUGGCAUAAUGAUCUUAA